rnacentral:pre_miRNA from 1 species
UGUUAAAAUUUUUAUUCAUUUCUACUAUCAAGAGCUAAUGUGGUUGACGAAAUAACCAGACAAUUACACAUGGUGUGCCACGUAUAUCUUAUGCUGAUAUACAAAGACCAAUUUUUAAUAGUAAAAAUAGAUAAAAUUUUUACCA